CCUACGGGGGGCUGCAGUUGGGAAUAUUGGACAAUGGGGGUAACCCUGAUCCAGCAAUCCCGCGUGAGUGAUGAAGGCCUUCGGGUCGUAAAGCUCUUUUAGUAGGGACGAAGGGAAACUUGACGGUACCUACAGAAAAAGCACCGGCUAACUCUGUGCCAGCAGCCGCGGUAAUACAGAGGGUGCAAGCGUUGUUCGGAAUCAUUGGGCGUAAAGCGCGAGUAGGCGGCUUCUUAAGUCUGAUGUGAAAGCCCGGGGCUUAACCCCGGAAGUGC
rnacentral:rRNA from 1 species